AGCUCCAAUAGCGUAUAUUAAAGUUGUUGCAGUUAAAAAGCUCGUAGUUGGAUUUCUGGGCUCGGUCAGCGGUCCGCCGAAAGGUGUGCACUGCAGGCCUGGUCCUUUCCUCCCGACGUUCACGUGUGCUCUUAACUGAGUGUGCGUGGGACUCGGGACCUUUACUUUGAAAAAAUUAGAGUGUUCAAAGCAGGCCAUCGCUUGAAUACAUUAGCAUGGAAUAAUGGAAUAGGACUUUGGUUCUAUUUCGUUGGUUCUAGGACCGAAGUAAUGAUUAAUAGGGAUAGUUGGGGGCAUUAGUAUUUAAUUGUCAGAGGUGAAAUUCUUAGAUUUAUGAAAGACUAACUACUGCGAAAGCAUUUGCCAAGGAUGUUUUCA
rnacentral:rRNA from 1 species